CAUUAUUACAGAUUGCCGGCUGCGCUACAUUGAUAAUUCAUGAUCAAGGCUUCCGCCACUUAUUAUCGCGUAUACGGCUUCGGCCUUAUAUUACUAUAUUGUGGCUGCAUAGACGGUAGCGCUUACCGUUAGGGCAUACUAUAGCUUCAUCCUAGCAAGUCAUGAAUAGAUCCUUCCGUGCGGAGACCAGGAGCAGAACAAAGGAUGAUGGCAAGCGUUUUAUGCAUACUGUGGACAAAGUUCGUAAAUGGGAGAAGAAGUGGGUGGCAGUCAGUGAUACAACAAUGAGGAUCUACAAAUGGGUCCCAGUUUCUGUUGAGAAGCGAAAGAAGAUGAAAUCAUUGGCAAACAAAGAAAAUCAGAAUCAGGGUGGAAAGACUAUUGAGACACCCAGUCCAUCAUUUCUGGGAGAAGAUUCAAACACAGGUUUCUCGGUCACUUCAGACUCAAUGGACACGGACUUCCAGCAGAUCAACUUCUCCGAGGACUCAAACUCGCAGUCAAUGUCCGCACCUGGCGCCACCAAGCGGCCGUAGCUAAAACGACUGUGGUCUCAGGAAGCAGGAAGCGGAGUCGGCCAUCGCCUUCGCGGAAGUUAUUGCUGUGCCUCCCGUCUGUUACUGCCUCCCACUGUAUGGCGAGACUCCUCCCGACGCUCGUGCGCUGUGCGUCAAUUCCGCUAUCAUGCGUCCUUGGAGGUGUGCAUGGGUGUGCUCCAUCCUCUGCAAUCAUGUUCUUUGUCGUCAUUGAGCUUAUGUGUCUACCAGGUAUGACCUAUGCGCUGUUUUGCGU